UGAGGGAGGGAAGGGGGUGACUAGUGACAGAGUGAGGGAGGGAAGGGGGUGACUAGUGACAGUCACCACCUCCUUCACUCUGUCACUGUGUCACCCCCUCCCUCACUCUGUCACUAGUCACCCCCUCCCUCACUCUGU